rnacentral:snRNA from 11 species
AUACUUACCUGGCAGGUUUGAUACCAUCAUCAAGAAGGUGGUUUUCCAAGGGCAAGCCUUCUCCAUUAUAUUUGAGACUUGCUAAUCCCUGAAAUUUCCCCAAAUGUUCCAAAUGUGGGGAAUUGACUAUGUAAUUUGUGUUAGUAAAAUACUGAGUUCACAUUUUC